rnacentral:lncRNA from 1 species
UAGAAAUUAUUUCAUACAGAUGGAUCACUUUAUUUUUUCACAUUUUCCAAAAAUUCAAAGUUGUCAAUAUUGACAGAAAAUCACACAAAAAAACCCUUCUUAUGCAUUCUAAGUUUAACCCUGCAGUUUUGACCAAUUUUUAGAAGGAUAAUAUGCCCCCUGCCCCCCCACCCUACCCCCGCCCGAUCAUACCUGGGACCUACGCUUAAGCAAAUUAUGUAUUUAUGAGGGUACAUCAGAAAUACUGAUGACCUGAACUUCAAACUUCUGAAAAAUAAGCUUGUUUCUUGAAAUAAAUUAGGUUAGAUCUAUUUUAGUGUCAAUAUUUUGUUGUUGUUGUUGUUGUUGUAGUAUUUCAUUAUGUAAAGCUGAUUUCGUAGCGAUAGGUUCGAAUCUAUAUUUUGCCAUUAUAAUUUCGUUUAUUUCAAUUUAAGUUGUCGAAUAUACUGUAACAUCAUUGAACAUAAAUAUUUUUUCGUAAAUUUACUUCGAGUAUCUCCUUCUUAAAAAGAAACGUUGAUUCGGAUGUAGGCCUACUGACACCUGAAUAUCUGCAUGCGCGCCGAAUGUUUACAAAGUCCGUUAGUAUUUUUGGUGUCUCUCGGUGAUACUGUUACACAUUAGAACAACUGAAUAAAAUCUCCUUUCAAUUAACUAUCGAUAUAUCUGGUGUUUUACGUAAGACUGAGGCCUGUUUACAUGGAGAGGUGGCGAAUACCUUAAAUGUUACGAUCCUCGUGCCAAGUAGGAUAGAUUAGGAGAGGUGGUACAAAUGCAUGUAGAUACCAAGACUUGCAUGAUUCCCAAUAUUAUUGCACAUUCGGUAGCAAAGAUGUUGACACCACAUGUCGUCUGAUGAUGACUUUUACGGGAUCGAAUAAGGUUUGGUCAUUGUAUUCCCUGAAAGGAAUGAGAGGAGAAAAGGAACUGGAAGACCUGGCUAUCUGCAGGCCAAUGCUGGCUGCAGGUCAAUAUUGAAUGCUCUUAUGAAAACUCAUAAGACAAUAACUAAAAAAAGAAGCUGAGGAUGCUGUUUUUAAAACAUGCUCCAUUCAAAAAAGGUGGAUUGAAAUUUAAGAAAGGUGUGACGGGUGCGUCUGCUGCAGGCAGGGAGGAUUUGACGGUCAGCCAGAGGAUUUGGAGAUAUACUGUAAUGUCUUUAAUGUGGACUUGCGUGUGAUUUAAGUUUUGA